AGAGUUUGAUCAUGGCUCAGAUUGAACGCUGGCGGCAGGCCUAACACAUGCAAGUCGAGCGGUAGCACAGAGAGCUUGCUCUCGGGUGACGAGCGGCGGACGGGUGAGUAAUGUCUGGGAAACUGCCUGAUGGAGGGGGAUAACUACUGGAAACGGUAGCUAAUACCGCAUAACGUCGCAAGACCAAAGUGGGGGACCUUCGGGCCUCAUGCCAUCAGAUGUGCCCAGAUGGGAUUAGCUAGUAGGUGGGGUAACGGCUCACCUAGGCGACGAUCCCUAGCUGGUCUGAGAGGAUGACCAGCCACACUGGAACUGAGACACGGUCCAGACUCCUACGGGAGGCAGCAGUGGGGAAUAUUGCACAAUGGGCGCAAGCCUGAUGCAGCCAUGCCGCGUGUGUGAAGAAGGCCUUCGGGUUGUAAAGCACUUUCAGCGGGGAGGAAGGCGUUAAGGUUAAUAACCUUGGCGAUUGACGUUACCCGCAGAAGAAGCACCGGCUAACUCCGUGCCAGCAGCCGCGGUAAUACGGAGGGUGCAAGCGUUAAUCGGAAUUACUGGGCGUAAAGCGCACGCAGGCGGUCUGUCAAGUCGGAUGUGAAAUCCCCGGGCUCAACCUGGGAACUGCAUUCGAAACUGGCAGGCUAGAGUCUUGUAGAGGGGGGUAGAAUUCCAGGUGUAGCGGUGAAAUGCGUAGAGAUCUGGAGGAAUACCGGUGGCGAAGGCGGCCCCCUGGACAAAGACUGACGCUCAGGUGCGAAAGCGUGGGGAGCAAACAGGAUUAGAUACCCUGGUAGUCCACGCCGUAAACGAUGUCGAUUUGGAGGUUGUGCCCUUGAGGCGUGGCUUCCGGAGCUAACGCGUUAAAUCGACCGCCUGGGGAGUACGGCCGCAAGGUUAAAACUCAAAUGAAUUGACGGGGGCCCGCACAAGCGGUGGAGCAUGUGGUUUAAUUCGAUGCAACGCGAAGAACCUUACCUGGUCUUGACAUCCACAGAACUUACCAGAGAUGCAUUGGUGCCUUCGGGAACUGUGAGACAGGUGCUGCAUGGCUGUCGUCAGCUCGUGUUGUGAAAUGUUGGGUUAAGUCCCGCAACGAGCGCAACCCUUAUCCUUUGUUGCCAGCGGUUCGGCCGGGAACUCAAAGGAGACUGCCAGUGAUAAACUGGAGGAAGGUGGGGAUGACGUCAAGUCAUCAUGGCCCUUACGACCAGGGCUACACACGUGCUACAAUGGCAUAUACAAAGAGAAGCGACCUCGCGAGAGCAAGCGGACCUCAUAAAGUAUGUCGUAGUCCGGAUUGGAGUCUGCAACUCGACUCCAUGAAGUCGGAAUCGCUAGUAAUCGUAGAUCAGAAUGCUACGGUGAAUACGUUCCCGGGCCUUGUACACACCGCCCGUCACACCAUGGGAGUGGGUUGCAAAAGAAGUAGGUAGCUUAACCUUCGGGAGGGCGCUUACCACUUUGUGAUUCAUGACUGGGGUGAAGUCGUAACAAGGUAACCGUAGGGGAACCUGCGGUUGGAUCACCU
rnacentral:rRNA from 1 species